GUCCAGGGUAGUCUAGUGGACAUGGCAUCUGCCCGGUAAGCGGUAAGCACGUUCUCCGCACACAAUAUCCUUAAUACAAUAUAAUGCGGCUUAUGAUUGUAGAACGACAUUUGAAAAUUAUCCCGCAUGUGUUUCUUUUAAAACGAAAAAUCGAAAAUUUAUUUUAAUGGAGAAAAACGAAUAUUUCUAACCUUAGGGAUGAAGUAUGAAAGGAUGAAUGUAAACAGUAAUGAUAAACGGAAAAAUAAAAGUGUCCAGGGAUCGUGGGUUCGAUUCCCAUCCUGGACA